rnacentral:lncRNA from 10 species
AGAAGACUGACGUUUAAAGUGGUGUCACAAAAUACAGCAAACUCUGCAACAAACCAACAUGCCAUGAGCACAGAGAGGAAAAUGCCUCUGUCUAGAGCAUCUGGGCCAAGCUUGGUGACCUGUUACCGUGAAGUACCCCAGGAGAGUGCCAGAUUUGCUAUUCAAAGCCCUCCAUUCAUGUGAUCAAUCAGAAUCUUAAUUAUUAUCUCACUUCAGGCUUCUAGCUUUUUCUCACUAAGAAUUAAUUUCUCUGUAUGAAAGAUGGAAACUAUAAUACUAUCAUCUGUCCUACCUACCGAACAGAGUUGAUUCAGGGGAAAGCAUUAGGGCGUGCUAUGCACGUUUAGUAAUGUAGCAGGGAUUCGAGAGCCUAAUUUGUGUUCUCUGCUGGGAAUCAGGCAUGUCUGGAAAUGUCCAAUGACUUGGCAGGGUAGGCAGCCUACUGGCAUCUAUUUUUAAGAAGUUGGUUUCCCUGGAUUCUCAUCUGAGCCCUGUGGAGAGAGAGGUUGUUUGCAGAGUCUGAGGAGGCUGUUGUCAUAAGGGACUCUGUGAGACGCAGGGGCUCAAGCUAUGCUCUCUGGUACCCAGAUAACAAACUAAAGCCCAGAGCUAGGGGCUGGGCAGGGUGGAGAUAGGGCAGAAAACCUCUCCAUCUCUGCUGUAAACACAGCAUGCCUGUAGUGCCAGAAGGAGUGCUGAGGACUGCAGAGGCCACAGCACCGCUUUAACUCCCAGGGCCAUACUAGGUCCGUCACUAGCAGCAGCCACGUGAGGAGAUGCCCACCUUUCGAUGGCCUUAUGGGCAGGAAACGUCAACCAGGACAGCCUGGAGUGAAAAAUAAAAAGGCAACUGAUUGUUAGACAUAGGUGAGAUAACAUUCGUGUUAUCUGUACGCUGGGUGAAGGUAUUGACAAUCGAAAUGUGAUUUAUUGCUGUUAAUGUGACCUCAUUUAUUCUCACAGGCUAGGAAAACUUAGGUUACUGUUAUUUACUACGGUAAGAAUGUAUGUCACUGUGGCAGGAGGAGUGACAAUGGCUGUCCAGAGGCCUGAUCCUAGCACACAUCACCUACUCCCCACCAGGCCGGAGAUUAGCCCUGACAGGGAGGCACUGACGUGGAAGCCCAUUGCCAUGGAAACCUGAAUUUGGGAUGCCUGCCUCUCAGUGGACAGGGUAUAGGAGACAGCAGUCUCCCCCAAACAACCUAAUUCUUCGUAAAUGCAAAAUGAGCUACGGAGUGUUUAUUGAAAGGAGUGGUGCCUGAAAAUUAGUGCUUGACUCUUAAUUUCUGAAACUUUCAUGAACGCAGUGACUUCUGGACAGCCCAGGAUGCUCAUAUGUGGUGGGGGUGAAAACUCACCCUCUGGGGCCUCCACAGGUGUUUUAAGAGCUAACACGUGGUCAAUAAGCUUCCAGGCUAAGUAGCUGACUGAAAAAAUGCUUCUCCCUCAUAGAAAUUUAUUUGUUUUUCCCACUGGAGCAGUCUAUAUUUUCCCAAGAUAGCAACAACAGCAUGUCCCAUCCCACAUACCCUUCUUACAGCGUGACCUCAACAUUAUUUCCACAGAAGGAUGGGACCAGUACUCUCUCCUGUUGACUCAGGGCAAACCUUCAGGACUGCUUUAAAUAUUAAUACAAAGUGCAGUAGAAAUGGCCUCAUCUCUUGGGUCUCUAGAAGUCUCCCUCUCUCUAUCCCUUCCAGCUCCCCACCCCUAGUCCCAGAGACAUCUCUGAAAAUGCUGCCACUGCUGUCUCUCACCCUAGACCUCUAGGGGACCUGUACAGCCGGGUGCCAGGGGCCGUGUGACUUCCCAGGCUAGAGCAUUAGAAUGCCACGCACUUCUGCCAGCUCUCUCUAGACACUGACCCUUAGACCCAAUCUGGGUGCUCAGAGGAAGUCCAAGCAGCCUGUGAUGAGGCCCCCAUGGAGAGAAACCAAGACUCCUAGCCCCCAGCCCAGAGAAGCUUCCAGACAAUGUCCAGAACCUCCUUGCCAGCCUCCUGAGUAAGGAAUCCCGACAUGGACCUCCCAGGAAAAUCGUCCUUGCAUGGGAAGACAAACUAAAGCCCACAUCACUGAAGGAUUUGUCAUGAUGAAAAAGAAAAUGAAUAAAAACAGAAUAUAUUUUAUAUUAGUAAUACCACAUACAUCUGAUGAUAGUAGUACACACACGCCUUGCAUAUCAGUAAAGAUGCCUUUAAAAAAAACCUGAAAGAAUAUUUGCAUUUAUUUUAGAUGGUACUUUUCCUCUGUUCUUUUGCAAGUGUUAAUUUGUAUGUUUCAGCUAGGAUUAUAUUCUGCUACAUAAAUUUUUUUUAAAACCUGAAAGAAAACACACAAAGUUAUUUUAUUUUAUUUUAAGUUCUGGGGUGCAUGUGCAGGAUGUGCUAGUUUGUGACAUUGGUAAACGUGUGCUACGGUGUUUUGCUGCACUUAUCAACCCAUCACCUAGGUGUUAAGCCCAGAAUGCUUCAGCUAUUUGUCUUGAUGCUCACACCCCACCCUCCCCCAACAGGCCCCAGUGAAAGUUCUAUUUUCUCAUGUAGAAAUCCAGAAAUGAGCAGUCCAGGGCUGGUAGGGCAGCACUACAAAGAGAUCCAGAAUCAAGACACCUUCCAUCUCCCUGAUUUACCAUUCUUAGCACAGAGCCUCUAUCCUCAAGCUGGCUGCUGCUGCUCCGGCAUCUUGUCUGGGAUCCUGGAAACCACAAAAAGGAAAAGGGAAAGGGAAACUCACACAGUUUUCAGUUGAGUCAGCUCCAUUUAGAAGGCUUCCCUGGAAAUUUCAUACAGCGGUUCUGCUUAUCUCCCAAUGGCCAGAAUCUAGCUACGUGAUAUAUUAGUUUGUUCUCAUGGUGCUAUAAAGACAUAUCUGAGACUGGGUAAUUUAUAAAGAAAAAGAGGCUUAAUGGACUCACAGUUCCACAUGGCUGGGAAGGCCACACAACCAUGGCAGAAGGUGCAAGAGAAACAAAGCCACGUGUUACACAGCGGCAGGCAAGAGAGCGUGUGCAGGGGAACUGCCCUUUAUAAAACCAUCAGAUCUCAUGAGACUUAUUCACUGUCAUGAGAACAGCACGGGAAAACCCACCCGCAUGAUUCAAUUACCUUCCACUGGGUGCCUCCAGUUGCAUGUGGGGAUUAUGGGAGCUACAAUUCAAGAUGAGAUCUGGGUGGGGACACAGCCAAACCACAUCACGUGAUCACCGCUAGCUGCAAGAAAUACAUUAACAUCACAGUUACAGAAGUUCUUCCCUUCUCCAACUUCCUUCACUGCUUAUUGUCUGCAUGACGUGACCUAAGACCACCCUCUUCUAUUGUUCCGUGCUCCAUGAACAAGAAGAAUCCUUUACUGGAAAUGUAGUCUUAUUGGAUAAGCCAAUUGAGACUUAAAUGAGCUAACCUGCUCAAGGACAUUCGAUGAAUAAGUUAGGGGUCAAACCUAUGUGUUUGACUCUAAAGACUCCCUUCACCAUUGUCGUAUACUGCCUCCCAUAUAGAUCACCUCCAAUCCCAGUCGCAGCAUCUACAAGGAAUACAGCAGAGUGACUAUUCCAGUUUGAAAGGACAUUCAAGAGCACAAAAGACCAGUGACUUCUGGGGAUAUUUCCUGAUGUUCUUGGCACUUUUACAAUUUCUGCUGUUUUUCCUUUUUUACGUAAAUCCUCCCCUAGUAACCAGCAUGGGGUAUUUCUGAAGUUCAUUUAGUGCCAUUUUUCUGUAUUGUCCAACAGAUUGUUUCUAGUACCUUCUGAUGUGUGGCAGCUGUGUUUUAACAAUUCCAAGUAUACCAUAUGAAAGUAAUCAAAGACAUUAACACACUAGUGUCCGCAGCUCUAGGGGUAUUUCCUGCAUGUGGUACUGGUAGGCCAUGUGAAGUUGUACAUAAAUUACUUUGUUUUGUUUUUUUGGUUUGGGGUAUUUUUUUGCUUGUUUUGUUUUGUUCUUAGCAUGCUGAAGUGUUCUCUAAAUAUAUGUGAACUCAUCACAUGCUUGUAUUUGUGGAUCCAUGAUUCUGUGGACAUAGCUAGCUACAAAGAGCAUCAUACAAAAAUCAGCAUUCAAGUAUAAUGUUUACAGAGCAUAGAAUAUUUCACAUAUUAAUCUGUGCAAAGUGAUCUCAGAUUCCCAAAGGAGGAAAUAGUUAAAGUUUAGUGUUUUCUCUGAUAUAGUGUACCCUGGGUAGGGCAGUAAUGGCUAACUACAUAACAUCCUAAUGUAAGCAGUUAUUGGGAAAUGUUUCACAUACAGUAUUUUAUUAUAGUAAGAUUGCACUGUACUUAAAGUAAAUAUCCCUGGAUCCCCUCCAAAGCUGAAAGAAUGUAGUUAGGUUACAGAAUCUGCUCACUCAGCAAUCUGUCUUAUAAUAAAUUAGGGUUUUGAAAAAAGGGCUGUUUUGUUUAUCACAAAAGGUAGGGAGAAGUAAAGAGUAACCUGAAAAAAGUAUACUUUCAAAGUUUGUCAAUAAGGCAGUAGGUUGUACAAUCUUGAAAGAAUGGAUAAUCAUAUGUACAUUGUAUUACCUCACUGAUUGCAAUAUCGAUUAUAUCAUAUAAGCAAAGUAGCCAAGGAUGAAGCUUAGAAAUUAAAUAUCCAGAUGUGACAGGUGCCAUCAUAAGUCGUAUUUUAAGAUUUAAGUCUAGCUUAUCGUAUAUACAAUUUCAC